rnacentral:rRNA from 1 species
CCAAUAGCGUAUAUUAAAGUUGUUGCAGUUAAAAAGCUCGUAGUUGAAUUUCGGGAUCAAUUUGUUGGUCGUGCUAUUGUACGUACUGGUAUUAUUGAUUCCUACCUUCUGACGAACCAUGAUGUCAUUAAUUUGGUGUCUUGGGGAAUCAGGACUGUUACUUUGAAAAAAUUAGAGUGUUUAAAGCAGGCUCACGCUUGAAUACAUUAGCAUGGAAUAACGAAAUAGGACGUUUGAUUCUAUUUUGUUGGUUUCUAGGAUCGACGUAAUGAUUAAUAGGGAUAGUUGGGGGCAUUAGUAUUCAAUUGUCAGAGGUGAAAUUCUUGGAUUUAUUGAAGACUAACUACUGCGAAAGCAUUUGCCAAGGAUGUUUUCAUUAAUCAAGAACGAAAGUUAGGGGAUCGAAGACGAUCAGAUACCGUCGUAGUCUUAACCAUAAACUAUGCCGACUAGGGAUCGGAUGAUGUUAAUUUUUUAAUGACUCAUUCGGCGCCUUACG